AGCCCGCGUGCAGGCCCAAGGGAACUGAUAGUGGGCCUGCAAGCAAGGCCCGGUAUUUUGUACUUUCCGCGUUCGCCCAUGAACGCGGCAUUCUGAUUGGCUGUUUGCUGUUGGAUUCUAUAAUUAGGUCAGUGAUUCGUCACAAAGGCUCUCGAUAAGCUUAAAAUUCGAAAAUUGAUCACAUUUUUCGAUUAUAAAUGGAACAAGAACAGACUGUUUAUUGUUUACUUGAAGGAAGAGAUGUUUUUGCCGUUAUGCCAAUGGGGAUUGCUUGUCGUGAGGUGUUGGAAUAGCAACAUUACGACUGGGGUAAACUAUAGUAAC
rnacentral:lncRNA from 1 species